CUCACGCUGCCUAUAGAAACCUGGGGUUUCUGGCUGGGCAUCGACAAUGGCGGCGGAUGCACCCCUGGAGUCAGCCUUUUCCACUUGUCUCUCGUGCCCAAGUAGACCUGUGGUGACCUUGCUUGGCAGCGAAUGAGGGGCGCUAAUGGUGUCGCCUGAGAGGACACCGAAUGAGGGGCGCUAAUGUCCUGUCCUCCCGUCCUGCUCAGCAUCAGAUAUGGCGAUGAGCUUCUCGCGCUGCCUAUUGAAACCUGGGCUUUCUGGCUGGGCACCGACAUUGGCGGCAGAUGCACCCCUGGAGCCAGCCUUCCACUUAUCUCUCGCGCCUAAGUAGACUGGUCGUGACCUUUGCUUGGCAGCGGAUGAGAGGCGCUGCGGGUGCCGCCAGAGAGGACACACCACUAUCUCGUCAUCUUGUCCUUCUCAGCAUCAACUAUGGCGAUGAGGUGCUUCCUUUUGGUUUGUCAGUCAUCUUUCCACAACAAUCUUGCUAGCUUCGUUGAUUGGAUGGUGGUGUGAUGGGUGCUGAAUAUUUCACUCAAGUUUCCAUGGUACACACAGUGGCCUCUUCCUGAACGUCGAUAUCUCAACUACAAUGAUUGCUAAACCCGGUCCUUCACCGACUUCUUCUUGCAAACCAGAAAGUUAACUGCCCUGACAGAAUUGACUGGCAAAAGG